GGCGAUUUAGCUCAGCCGGUUAGAGCGCAUGAUUCAUAAUCAUGAGGUCCGGGGUUCAAGUCCCCGAGUCGCUACUA
rnacentral:tRNA from 1 species